CGGAACACGUACGCAACCUUCCUUUAACUGGAGAAUAGCCCCUCGAAAGAGGGAUUAAUACUCCGUAACAUGUACAUAUGGCAUCACAAGUACAUUAUAGCUCCGGCGGUUAAAGAUGGGCGUGCGCCUGAUUAGAUAGUUGGCGGGGUAACGGCCCACCAAGUCUGCGAUCAGUAACUGGUGUGAGAGCACGACCAGUCACACGGGCACUGAGACACGGGCCCG
rnacentral:rRNA from 1 species